rnacentral:rRNA from 1 species
AGUCGACGAAGCACCUUAUUCUGAUUUCUUCGGAAUGAAAAAUUUGGUGACUGAGUGGCGGACGGGUGAGUAACGCGUGGGUAACCUGCCUCAUACAGGGGGAUAACAGUUAGAAAUGACUGCUAAUACCGCAUAAGACCACAGCACCGCAUGGUGCAGGGGUAAAAACUCCGGUGGUAUGAGAUGGACCCGCGUCUGAUUAGGUAGUUGGUGGGGUAACGGCCUACCAAGCCGACGAUCAGUAGCCGACCUGAGAGGGUGACCGGCCACAUUGGGACUGAGACACGGCCCAAACUCCUACGGGAGGCAGCAGUGGGGAAUAUUGCACAAUGGGGGAAACCCUGAUGCAGCGACGCCGCGUGAGCGAUGAAGUAUUUCGGUAUGUAAAGCUCUAUCAGCAGGGAAGAAAAUGACGGUACCUGACUAAGAAGCACCGGCUAAAUACGUGCCAGCAGCCGCGGUAAUACGUAUGGUGCAAGCGUUAUCCGGAUUUACUGGGUGUAAAGGGAGCGUAGACGGAGUGGCAAGUCUGAUGUGAAAACCCGGGGCUCAACCCCGGGACUGCAUUGGAAACUGUCAAUCUAGAGUACCGGAGAGGUAAGCGGAAUUCCUAGUGUAGCGGUGAAAUGCGUAGAUAUUAGGAGGAACACCAGUGGCGAAGGCGGCUUACUGGACGGUAACUGACGUUGAGGCUCGAAAGCGUGGGGAGCAAACAGGAUUAGAUACCCUGGUAGU